rnacentral:rRNA from 1 species
GGAGGAAAGUAGGGGAUCGUAAGACCUCGCGUUAAUGGAGUGGCCGAUAUCUGAUUAGCUAGUUGGUGAGGUAAAGGCUCACCAAGGCGACGAUCAGUAGCUGGUCUGAGAGGACGACCAGCCACACUGGAACUGAGACACGGUCCAGACUCCUACGGGAGGCAGCAGUGGGGAAUUUUGGACAAUGGGCGCAAGCCUGAUCCAGCCAUUCCGCGUGAGUGAAGAAGGCCUUCGGGUUGUAAAGCUCUUUCGCAAGGGAAGAAAACUUACUCAAUAACACUGGGUAAGGCUGAUGGUACCUUGAUAAGAAGCACCGGCUAACUACGUGCCAGCAGCCGCGGUAAUACGUAGGGUGCGAGCGUUAAUCGGAAUUACUGGGCGUAAAGCGUGCGCAGGCGGUUUUGUAAGUCAGAUGUGAAAGCCCCGGGCUCAACCUGGGAACUGCGUUUGAAACUACAAGGCUAG